rnacentral:rRNA from 1 species
GAUGAACGCUGGCGGCAUGCUUAGCACAUGCAAGUCGAACGGGAAGUGGUGUUUCCAGUGGCGAACGGGUGAGUAACGCGUAAGAACCUGCCCUUGGGAGGGGAACAACAACUGGAAACGGUUGCUAAUACCCCGUAGGCUGAGGAGCAAAAGGAGAAAUCCGCCCAAGGAGGGGCUCGCGUCUGAUUAGCUAGUUGGUGAGGUAAUAGCUUACCAAGGCGAUGAUCAGUAGCUGGUCCGAGAGGAUGAUCAGCCACACUGGGACUGAGACACGGCCCAGACUCCUACGGGAGGCAGCAGUGGGGAAUUUUCCGCAAUGGGCGAAAGCCUGACGGAGCAAUGCCGCGUGGAGGUGGAAGGCCUACGGGUCGUCAACUUCUUUUCUCGGAGAAGAAACAAUGACGGUAGCUGAGGAAUAAGCAUCGGCUAACUCUGUG